GUCCACGGGCGGGAAUCGAACCCACAAUCUUCUGCUUACCGGGCAGGUGCCAUGUCCACUAGGCUACCCUGGA
rnacentral:tRNA from 1 species